GGGCCCGCACAAGCGGUGGAGCAUGUGGUUUAAUUCGAUGAUACGCGAGGAACCUUACCAGGGCUUAAAUGUAGAACGACCGAUUUGGAAACAAGUCUUCUCUUUGAGCGGUCUACAAGGUGCUGCAUGGUUGUCGUCAGCUCGUGCCGUGAGGUGUCGGGUUAAGUCCCUUAACGAGCGCAACCCCUAUCUCUAGUUGCCAGCGGAUAAUGCCGGGGACUCUAGAGAAACUGCCCGUGCAAACGGUGAGGAAGGUGGGGAUGACGUCAAAUCAUCACGGCCCUUACGUCCUGGGCUACACACGUGCUACAAUGGUCGGUACAGAGGGCAGCUACCACGUGAGUGGAUGCAAAUCUCGAAAGCCGAUUUCAGUUCGGAUUGGAGUCUGCAACUCGACUCUAUGAAGCUGGAAUC
rnacentral:rRNA from 1 species